CUUGGAUCUGCAGCCCUAGCUGUAAAAAUCUUACAACUCUGAAAGCCUCUGCUGAGGACCAAAGUGAAGGUUGUCGGAAAUUAGUCCAUCUUGGACCUUUUAGGAUUUUCCUUUCAGAAGCAUAGGCAGCUUUGUCCUGUCUCCCCCAACAGACUGCAUUCUCUACAGCAAGGAGGGAAAUACCACCUCAUAAAAGACAGCUGAGCACAUCAUUGCAGUGACCCAAACCAGCCAUGCAACAGCCAGGACAGGUCUCAAAGGGUGCAGUGCAGAGAGGAGCAUAUGGUAAUCCCUACUGUAGAAGGGAAAACAAUGGCCCGGAGCAUCAUCACUGAGUAGCCAAAUUGGGAAUCCCACCUGAAUCAAUCCUGUCUCUGGACAAAGCUGCCACUUCCCUAUGACUACAACAGAUGCCCAUACCAAAGCAAUUACUGUAUGGGAGAUGCCGCCUGGCUGGAAGAACCUGUUCAUUUUGGGUCUGUAAUGGAGUCUGUGAGGAGCUCAGCUUCCUGGUGUGGAAGAAGGUAAGUAACCUCUUUGUCAACAACUGAGAAGAUCUUGAAGAAUCCCAAGGCUCGUUUUACAGCUGGAAGUGCUAGCCCAAGUGCGUACACAGCAGUGAGAUGGAGCCCCAAAACGGGAGAGGGGGACAGCAGAGAGAAAGGAAAGGUGGAAAAAAGCACCAGCAACAAGCCCAGGAAGUUCAGUGAAUGCAUAAGCAGUACUUUCAGUGUGUGCUUGUGAAAUAUGUAAUACGUAGCAGCGAGUAGCCUUACUGGUUCUUGCUGACUCAAACAGGCUUGGUUCCAGGGAAGAUCAAAACCCCCAGCGUGACAGUUAAUGAAACAAGGAGAAAGAAGAUGGAAGCUAUCAGUCCCAGCCAGCCAACACUAACAGAGUCCGAAGGCAACUGGAGGUGCCAAGGUGUCUGCUUGCAAAAUUUGGAGAGAGCUGUGGGGGUCGUAGAGAGGGCUGCACCGAGGCCAGUUUUGCUGGCAGGAAAAGCCGCUUAUGAUAACAGAGGAGCAGUGGAGACAACUCAUCCUCUCCAAGAGGACACAUACUGUCUUUUUUAAGAUACAGAACAAGCUGGCAUUAUUCUGCAUCCCUUGGGCAAUGGUACUUUGCCAUGGAGCUGACCUGGGUGGAGUACGUGGAGCAUGGCAUGGAUCCAGGGGUAUAAACUGAAUGCACAGUAAUUGCAAGGACAGGACGGCAUGAACUGAGCAGUGCAGAGCACCUGGUCCUCAAGGGAGACAACCAGUGCCUUUUGGUGGGCAAUGUAAAGGAGUUAAAAGACAAAAUGUGGCAGUCUGCUGCAGCAUGAGCCAUAAAGCAGAGCAGAGAGCAACGGCCUUCUGUAACAAGCCUAUUUAUCUCUAAAGCAGCAUUUCUCAGACUGUGAUCCAUGGGCCUUUGGUGGUCUAUAAAACAUCCAGUGGUAGCUCAUGAAACAAUAGUAAACCCUCUCUCCUCCCCUUCAACAGCCACAGAAGCAAGCACGCAAACA